rnacentral:tRNA from 1 species
GCGCCUGUGAUGUAAUGGUAACAUUCGAGCUUCCCAAGCUCGCCAUGUGGGUUCGAUCCCCAUCGGGCGCU